rnacentral:rRNA from 1 species
AGAGUUUGAUCCUGGCUCAGGACGAACGCUGGCGGCGUGCCUAAUACAUGCAAGUAGAACGCUGAAGAGAGGAGCUUGCUCUUCUUGGAUGAGUUGCGAACGGGUGAGUAACGCGUAGGUAACCUGCCUUGUAGCGGGGGAUAACUAUUGGAAACGAUAGCUAAUACCGCAUAACAAUGGAUGACACAUGUCAUUUAUUUGAAAGGGGCAAUUGUUCCACUACAAGAUGGACCUGCGUUGUAUUAGCUAGUAGGUGAGGUAAUGGCUCACCUAGGCGACGAUACAUAGCCGACCUGAGAGGGUGAUCGGCCACACUGGGACUGAGACACGGCCCAGACUCCUACGGGAGGCAGCAGUAGGGAAUCUUCGGCAAUGGGGGCAACCCUGACCGAGCAACGCCGCGUGAGUGAAGAAGGUUUUCGGAUCGUAAAGCUCUGUUGUAAGUCAAGAACGGGUGUGAGAGUGGAAAGUUCACACUGUGACGGUAGCUUACCAGAAAGGGACGGCUAACUACGUGCCAGCAGCCGCGGUAAUACGUAGGUCCCGAGCGUUGUCCGGAUUUAUUGGGCGUAAAGCGAGCGCAGGCGGUUUGAUAAGUCUGAAGUUAAAGGCUGUGGCUCAACCAUAGUUCGCUUUGGAAACUGUCAAACUUGAGUGCAGAAGGGGAGAGUGGAAUUCCAUGUGUAGCGGUGAAAUGCGUAGAUAUAUGGAGGAACACCGGUGGCGAAAGCGGCUCUCUGGUCUGUAACUGACGCUGAGGCUCGAAAGCGUGGGGAGCGAACAGGAUUAGAUACCCUGGUAGUCCACGCCGUAAACGAUGAGUGCUAGGUGUUGGAUCCUUUCCGGGAUUCAGUGCCGCAGCUAACGCAUUAAGCACUCCGCCUGGGGAGUACGACCGCAAGGUUGAAACUCAAAGGAAUUGACGGGGGCCCGCACAAGCGGUGGAGCAUGUGGUUUAAUUCGAAGCAACGCGAAGAACCUUACCAGGUCUUGACAUCCCGAUGCUAUUUCUAGAGAUAGAAAGUUACUUCGGUACAUCGGUGACAGGUGGUGCAUGGUUGUCGUCAGCUCGUGUCGUGAGAUGUUGGGUUAAGUCCCGCAACGAGCGCAACCCCUAUUGUUAGUUGCCAUCAUUCAGUUGGGCACUCUAGCGAGACUGCCGGUAAUAAACCGGAGGAAGGUGGGGAUGACGUCAAAUCAUCAUGCCCCUUAUGACCUGGGCUACACACGUGCUACAAUGGUUGGUACAACGAGUUGCGAGUCGGUGACGGCGAGCUAAUCUCUUAAAGCCAAUCUCAGUUCGGAUUGUAGGCUGCAACUCGCCUACAUGAAGUCGGAAUCGCUAGUAAUCGCGGAUCAGCACGCCGCGGUGAAUACGUUCCCGGGCCUUGUACACACCGCCCGUCACACCACGAGAGUUUGUAACACCCGAAGUCGGUGAGGUAACCUUUUGGAGCCAGCCGCCUAAGGUGGGACAGAUGAUUGGGGUGAAGUCGUAACAAGGUU